rnacentral:misc_RNA from 1 species
GAAAUGCGAUAAUUAAUGUGAAUUGCAGAAUUCAGUGAAUCAUCGAGUCUUUGAACGCACAUUGCGCCCCCUGGUAUUCCGGGGGGCAUGCCUGUCCGAGCGUCAUUGCUGCCCUCAAGCACGGUUUGUGUGUUGGGCUUCCGUCCCUGUCAACGGGGACGGGCCCAAAAGGCAGUGGCGGCACCAUGUCUGGUCCUCGAGCGUAUGGGGCUUUGUCACCCGCUCCCGUAGGUCCAGCUGGCAGCUAGCCUCGCAACCAAUCUUUUUAACCAGGUUGACCUCGGAUCAGGUAGGGAUACCCGCUGAACUUAAGC